AUUGAACGCUGGCGGCAGGCUUAACACAUGCAAGUCGAGCGGAGAUGAGGUGCUUGCACCUUAUCUUAGCGGCGGACGGGUGAGUAAUGCUUAGGAAUCUGCCUAUUAGUGGGGGACAACAUUCCGAAAGGAAUGCUAAUACCGCAUACGCCCUAAGGGGGAAAGCAGGGGAUCUUCGGACCUUGCGCUAAUAGAUGAGCCUAAGUCGGAUUAGCUAGUUGGUGGGGUAAAGGCCUACCAAGGCGACGAUCUGUAGCGGGUCUGAGAGGAUGAUCCGCCACACUGGGACUGAGACACGGCCCAGAGUCCUACGGGAGGCAGCAGUGGGGAAUAUUGGACAAUGGGGGGAACCCUGAUCCAGCCAUGCCGCGUGUGUGAAGAAGGCCUUUUGGUUGUAAAGCACUUUAAGCGAGGAGGAGGCUCUCUUAGUUAAUACCUAGGAAGAGUGGACGUUACUCGCAGAAUAAGCACCGGCUAACUCUGUGCCAGCAGCCGCCGUAACAC
rnacentral:rRNA from 1 species